AACGAACGCUGGCGGCAUGCCUAACACAUGCAAGUCGAACGAGACCUUCGGGUCUAGUGGCGCACGGGUGCGUAACGCGUGGGAACCUGCACUUAGGUUCGGAAUAACUCCCCGAAAGGGGUGCUAAUACCGGUUAAUGUCUUCGGACCAAAGAUUUAUCGCCUUUGGAUGGGCCCGCGUUGGAUUAGCUAGUUGGUAGGGUAAAAGCCUACCAAGGCGACGAUCCAUAGCUGGUCUGAGAGGAUGAUCAGCCACACUGGGACUGAGACACGGCCCAGACUCCUACGGGAGGCAGCAGUGGGGAAUAUUGGACAAUGGGCGAAAGCCUGAUCCAGCAAUGCCGCGUGAGUGAUGAAGGCCUUAGGGUUGUAAAGCUCUUUUACCCGGGAUGAUAAUGACAGUACCGGGAGAAUAAGCUCCGGCUAACUCCGUG
rnacentral:rRNA from 1 species